rnacentral:tRNA from 1 species
AAAGAAUUAGUUAAUUUAUAACAUAAAUCUGUCUAAUUUAAAUAAUUAAAAUUUAUUAAUAUUCUUUU